CAAAGCAUCCUGUUCCUCGUGCUUGCACGAAAGGAACUGGAAUGCCUUGAGACCCGCAAAAACAUGAGACAGUAGCGAUUUGCGCAGCAAAUCAGCGAAUGUCGAAUGUUUUUACGGAUUGCGAGAGUUGCGAAGCAACGCAGCAAUCCGUGU
rnacentral:sRNA from 1 species